CCUGACAAAGGCAAACCGUCCGAGAGGGCGGGGCGCAAAACCACGGGUCCGUGAGUCGGUCUGGUAGCGAUCCUUUUCGCUGUUGGGCUUGGCUUCAGGAAAGCCGAGUUGCCUGGC
rnacentral:ncRNA from 1 species